rnacentral:rRNA from 1 species
GACGAACGCUGGCGGCGUGCUUAACACAUGCAAGUCGAACGGAAAAGCCCUGCUCUUGUGGGGUGCUCUGGUUGCGAACGGAUGAGGAGCACAAGAGUAACCUGCCCUGCACUCUGCUAUUACUUCACGAAACUGGGGCUAGUACCGUAUGGGAUCUCCUGCUUCUGUGUGGGGGUUGGAAUGGUUCGGCGGUUGUGUAGGGGCUUGCGGCUUGUCAGCGUGUUGGCGGGGUAGUGGCUUACGACGGCUUUGACGGGUAGCCGGCCUGAGAGGGUGUGCGGCAACAUUGGGACUGAUAUGAGGCGCAGCCUUCUGGGGGAGGGAGCAGUGGGGGAUAUUGCAAAGUGGGCGGGAGCCUGAUGCAGCAACGCCGCGUGGGGGAUGAAGGCCUUCGGGUUGUAAACCGCUUUCGCCUGUGAUGAAGCGUGAGUGACGGUAAUGGGUAAAGAAGCGCCGGCUAACUACGUG